UUCCUCCCUUCCUCCACCAGGUGGAGUCUUAUCCCUCUGAGCACAUGAAGCCCUAAUAACUACAGGCUGAACAUGUGAAUGUCUGGAUCUUUACCACAACACUCUUAUUGUUCAUUGCACUUUUAUGUCUUCUCAUGCAGAUUUUUCUCUCCCUGCUGGUUUCCCCAACACACAGAGAACACUGAGAACACACAUAUUUUUGACUUCCUGUUGUCGCUCCUCCCGCUGAGGAGCCGAAAGUGAAAGCAAACAUUUGUCCUGUGACUCCGCCAUCAGCGUCUCCGGUGUUGGUCGAGAUUCGUGUUUCCCCGUCAGGUGUCAACAUCAUGUCAACAUCAAUGUUAAUUCCUUACUUUGACUCUAAAUGAGGAAGUGACGGCGGCGCGCAGCAAACAGGGGCCGCACGCCAUUUGUCUUUCCUGCCGCUCCUCUCCCUUCAAAAUCAACAGUUUAAAGGUGUCGGCUCGGCUAUGGAGCCAUUUGGGAGAAGAAUGAAGGGGCUCCCUGCCUCUGAAAGCUCUCUGUCUGGGGAACAUGACAGCCAGACCAAAGCUAAGAGGAUCCAGCAGGAGAGACCAGACUCCCCUGGACCUGGACCUGAGCCCAGCUGUGUGUCCAUGAAGAGUGAUCGGUCUAUGGGAUGUCCUAUUUUCUU